rnacentral:rRNA from 1 species
UGGGGAAUAUUGGGCAAUGGGCGCAAGCCUGACCCAGCCAUGCCGCGUGAGUGAUGAAGGCCUUCGGGUUGUAAAGCUCUGUGGGGAAGGACGAACAAGGCUGUGGCUAAUAUCCACGGUCCCUGACGGUACUUCCUUAGCAAGCACCGGCUAACUCCGUGCCAGCAGCCGCGGUAAUACGAAGGGGGCUAGCGUUGUUCGGAUUUACUGGGCGUAAAGCGCACGUAGGCGGAUCGUUAAGUCGGGGGUGAAAUCCUGGAGCUCAACUCCAGAACUGCCUUCGAUACUGGCGAUCUAGAGUCCGGAAGAGGUGAGUGGAACUCCUAGUGUAGAGGUGGAAUUCGUAGAUAUUAGGAAGAACACCAGUGGCGAAGGCGGCUCACUGGUCCGGUACUGACGCUGAGGUGCGAAAGCGUGGGGAGCAAAC